rnacentral:misc_RNA from 1 species
GAUGAAGAACGCAGCGAAAUGCGAUAAGUAGUGUGAAUUGCAGAAUUCAGUGAAUCAUCGAAUCUUUGAACGCACAUUGCGCCCCUUGGUAUUCCAUGGGGCAUGCCUGUUCGAGCGUCGUUUGUACCCUCAAGCUUUGCUUGGUGUUGGGCGUCUUGUCGUAUUACGACUCGCCUUAAAUACAUUGGCAGCCGGCACUUUGGCCUAGGAGCGCAGCACAUUUUGCGAUCGUAGCCCGUUGUACUGGCGUCCAUCAAGAACAUUUACCACGUUUGACCUCGGAUCAGGUAGGGAUACCCGCUGAACUUAAGCAUAUCAAUAAGCGGAGGA